rnacentral:rRNA from 1 species
GCAGUCGACGAUGAUGGAGAGCUUGCUCUUCGGAUUAGUGGCGAACGGGUGAGUAACACGUGAGCAAUCUGCCCUUGACUCUGGGAUAAGCGUUGGAAACGACGUCUAAUACCGGAUACGACCCUUGGAGGCAUCUCCGGGGGGUGGAAAGAAUUUUGGUCAGGGAUGAGCUCGCGGCCUAUCAGCUAGUUGGUGAGGUAAUGGCUCACCAAGGCGACGACGGGUAGCCGGCCUGAGAGGGUGACCGGCCACACUGGGACUGAGACACGGCCCAGACUCCUACGGGAGGCAGCAGUGGGGAAUAUUGCACAAUGGGCGAAAGCCUGAUGCAGCAACGCCGCGUGAGGGACGACGGCCUUCGGGUUGUAAACCUCUUUUAGUAGGGAAGAAGCGAAAGUGACGGUACCUGCAGAAAAAGCACCGGCUAACUACGUGCCAGCAGCCGCGGUAAUACGUAGGGUGCAAGCGUUGUCCGGAAUUAUUGGGCGUAAAGAGCUCGUAGGCGGUUUGUCGCGUCUGCUGUGAAAACCCGAGGCUCAACCUCGGGCCUGCAGUGGGUACGGGCAGACUAGAGUGCGGUAGGGGAGAUUGGAAUUCCUGGUGUAGCGGUGGAAUGCGCAGAUAUCAGGAGGAACACCAAUGGCGAAGGCAGAUCUCUGGGCCGUAACUGACGCUGAGGAGCGAAAGCAUGGGGAGCGAACAGGAUUAGAUACCCUGGUAGUCCAUGCCGUAAACGUUGGGAACUAGAUGUGGGGACCAUUCCACGGUCUCCGUGUCGCAGCUAACGCAUUAAGUUCCCCGCCUGGGGAGUACGGCCGCAAGGCUAAAACUCAAAGGAAUUGACGGGGGCCCGCACAAGCGGCGGAGCAUGCGGAUUAAUUCGAUGCAACGCGAAGAACCUUACCAAGGCUUGACAUAUAGAGGAAACGGCUGGAAACAGUCGCCCCGCAAGGUCUCUAUACAGGUGGUGCAUGGUUGUCGUCAGCUCGUGUCGUGAGAUGUUGGGUUAAGUCCCGCAACGAGCGCAACCCUCGUCCUAUGUUGCCAGCACGUAAUGGUGGGAACUCAUGGGAUACUGCCGGGGUCAACUCGGAGGAAGGUGGGGAUGACGUCAAAUCAUCAUGCCCCUUAUGUCUUGGGCUUCACGCAUGCUACAAUGGCCGGUACAAAGGGCUGCAAUACCGCAAGGUGGAGCGAAUCCCAAAAAGCCGGUCUCAGUUCGGAUUGAGGUCUGCAACUCGACCUCAUGAAGUCGGAGUC